rnacentral:lncRNA from 1 species
AAACCAGAGAACGCCAAGCCUGGUCGAUUGUAUCUUCUUCCUAAAAUACACAAGGUUAACAACCCUGGUAGACCCAUUGUAUCCGCCAACGGCCAUCCGACUGAGAAAAUCUCGGAAUUUGUAGACUUUCAUUUAAGAUCUCAUGUAGAAAAUCUUCCUUCUCACAUUCAAGACACUACAGAUUAUCUUCGCAAAAUGGAAUCCAUGAACCCUCUUCCUCCGGAAACCCUCCUUGUCACUUUAGAUGUCACCUCAUUGUAUACCAACAUACCUCAUGAUGACGGAAUACAAUCGUGUAGGGAAAUAUGGGACUCGCGCAACACUUUAGAACCACCUACCGAAUGUUUAGUCCAGCUGCUUACUCUGGUCCUGAAAUGCAACAAUUUUACCUUUAAUGGUGAGAAUUACCUUCAAAUAAACGGGACAGCGAUGGGGACGAAAAUGGCACCGUCUUACGCCAAUAUUUUCAUGGGCAAAUUAGAGAAACAAAUUAUUUCAACAUCUUUAUCCAAACCUCUGUCUUGGUUCCGUUUCAUCGAUGAUGUUGACAUGAAAUGGAUUGAAUCCCAACAAAAAUUGGAUGCUUUUAUCAGACAUGCAAACAACGCCCACC